rnacentral:rRNA from 1 species
CCCUUAGAGUUUGAUCCUGGCUCAGGAUGAACGCUAGCUACAGGCUUAACACAUGCAAGUCGAGGGGCAGCAUUUCAGUUUGCUUGCAAACUGGAGAUGGCGACCGGCGCACGGGUGAGUAACACGUAUCCAACCUGCCGAUAACUCGGGGAUAGCCUUUCGAAAGAAAGAUUAAUACCCGAUGGUAUAAUCAGACCGCAUGGUCUUGUUAUUAAAGAAUUUCGGUUAUCGAUGGGGAUGCGUUCCAUUAGGCAGUUGGUGAGGUAACGGCUCACCAAACCUUCGAUGGAUAGGGGUUCUGAGAGGAAGGUCCCCCACAUUGGAACUGAGACACGGUCCAAACUCCUACGGGAGGCAGCAGUGAGGAAUAUUGGUCAAUGGGCGCAGGCCUGAACCAGCCAAGUAGCGUGAAGGAUGACUGCCCUAUGGGUUGUAAACUUCUUUUAUAUGGGAAUAAAGUUUUCCACGUGUGGAAUUU